rnacentral:rRNA from 1 species
GUUGGUUCUCUGGGUGGCGAGGGGGCCUGGGGAGAGGAAUACGUCGGAAUCGACUUUUUCAUGGGGAAUAACGCAGGGAAACUUACGCUAAUACCGAUUACAAUCUACGGGUGAAGGCUGGGGAUCUUCGGACCUUGUCCGAUGGAAUGAACCGAUGGCGGAUUAUCUAGUUGGCGGGGUGAAGGCCCACCGAGGCAACGAUCCGUAGAUGGUCUGAGAAGAUGAUCGGCCGCACUGGAACUGAGACACUGACCAAACUCCUACAGUAGGCAGGAAGGGGGAAUAUUGGACUCUGCCCGCAAGCCUGAUCCACCCAUACCGCGAGGCUGAAGAAGGGCUUCGGGUUGUCAAGCCCUUUUGUUGUGAAGGAAAUCCAGAUGGCUAAUACCCGGAUGGGAUGACGGCCUCGAAAGAACAAACACCGACUAACUUCGUGACAUACGCCGCGGUAAUACCAAGAGUGCAUGCGUGACUCGGAAUAUCUGGGAUUAUAGCGCGCAUAGGUGGCCGAUUAGGUCUCUUGUGACAGAUCUGAGCUCACACUGGUCACUGCAGUGGAUACUGUGCGACUAGAGAGAGUUAAAUGGAAACGAAAAUCCUGGAGUACCAUGUGAUAUGCGUAAAUAUCAGGAGGAACAUC